GUCCUAGCCCUAACCAUCAGAACUUGGGUGGCCCGCGUAGGCGGGUCGUCCCGUAGCUAACGCGUUAAGUUCUGCGCCUGGGGAGUACGGUCGCAAGACUGAAACUCAAAGGAAUUGACGGGCCCGCACAAGCGGUGGAACAUGUGGUUCAAUUCGACGCAACGCGAAGAACCUUACCUGGGCUUGAACCGCUACUGACCAAGGGUAGAAAUAUCCUCUUCCCGCAAGGGACAGUAGUAGAGGUGCUGCAUGGCUGUCGU
rnacentral:rRNA from 1 species